CGGACUUACAAGCUACAGUAUUAAACAAGCUACCAAACAAGCCAAGUUAUCAUUUUUUUGUCAUGACUAAUUUAUUAAUGACUCAGCAUCAUAUGUAUUAAAGAAAAAAAGAAUCACUUCAUCUAGUGUUUAAAGUGAAUAAAAUAGCCUUUGGAGUCUCAAAACUACUGAAGAACAUUGUUCUCUCCCCCUGGACUUGUGUGUGUGGGUGAGGUAAAGGUAAAGCAGAGAGUGGACCAAAGCACUGUGAGGUAAGGAAGGGGGGGCUCAAAAUGUUUCUGAACUUAAAACGCAUUUUUUUUGCCCCUUUUGCGUUUGUAUUGUUUUACUACUUAAAAAUAUACUUUAAAUAAUUGUGUAAGUAUUAUUUUAAGUAUUAUAUUAAAAGGUGCGGUAUGUAGGAUUUCUGUCCGCUAGAGGUCGCUAGAGGCCUAUUCAAAACAAAGGCGUAGCUUGAUGACGCCAAGUUUGAGAGCGGAAUCUUGGGACAUGUGGUCUUCACCUCAACGGACGGUGCAAAAGAAUAGGGAUAGGACUCGUGAAGAAAUCAUGUUCAUGGAUGCGAUUAUUAACGUUACUGUAGUAUGAAGCAGAGCAGGACCGAGUGUUAUGGGAGCUGAACGAGGCCGUUGGAGCGAUUGCACAACACACGCCUCACGAGCAGCAGAACUUUUAUUAUGCCACAGUCGCCGGCGCUGCUUCCGCUUUUCCGGUCAUGAGUAUGAGGUAACACAGCUCUGUUUAUCAUAUUAGAUACAUUUGAGAGUGUUGAUAAUGAUGUUAUAACAUUACUAUGUGUGUGUUCGCUUGGUGGCUGCUGUGAGACACUUGUCUGAGACACACUGCAGUAAGCUAGAUCAAUAUUAGAAUAUCAUUAAAUGCUGGAUGGCUUGUGUUGAUAAAUGGCACGCAAUUCAUUUUAAAACGUAUUGUAUGAUGAAGAAAAUGCUGUAUUACUGUUACUAAAAAUAAAGCUGCAUCUGAUUAUGCUAUGUUAGCUACUUCACAAAAUAGUGUUUUUCUCUGAGGCAUGGUACUCGCAAAAAAAAGAAAAAAAAAAAAAAAGAAAAGAAAAUUAGUUUUAAACAAGACUAAACGUGUUAAGCUAUAUAACAAUUAGUUUUCUGUCUAUAAAUAUAUCAAAACAGUUGAUCCCUUGCCUAUUAAAACAUGUAAUAUAUUAAAGCGUCUUUGGUUUUUCCAUGGUUUCUACAAAAUGAAUCAGGCGAUUCCUCACACGUCCCGGAGACUUGGUUAAAAUUGCAAUUUUCCUCACGAUUUACAAAUAGUUGUAAACAUUUGGGAUAUUGUAAGUACUCAAGUGAACAAAAUCUAUAACACUGGCCUGGUGGUUUUUGGAUAUUUUACUGCAAAAACCUUACAUAUUGCCCCUUCAAGUAUAUAUCAUUAUAUCAUUUACAAUCCACAGCAUGGUUUUUAAUUAUAUUUUUAAGAGGGGGGAAAACAAUCAGAUGGGGUAAGUCUCGACCCCCCCACGAAUUCCACCUAUGAUUCCAGUUAGCUUUCUUUUUGUUGAAAGGUACAGAUGAGCGCCACAGCUCAAUGUGUCAGAGCAUGUGUGAUAAACUUAACAUAUUAACUCAGUAGCAUGACAGCAGUUUUUAAAACAAUUUUUUCACACACAUUAUUUUGAUUUUUGGUGAAACACCAUAAUCUGACAUAAAUAAGUAUGUGCAGACUUUGAAACGACACGCCUUGUGACACAUAAUAAGGCAGCACUCCAGACGCCUCUGCUAUGAGUCACUCUAAAAAGAUCAGCUUGGACCACAAAACAACAACUCAAUGUCUGCUGAAGGUCAGUGUGAGACCCAUGAAACCAGACAAUGAGUUUGGUGCACAGACACACUUUCAGUUUCAUAUGGGGUGUGCAAGGUCUGUCUGAUCUACAACCUCCAUGUUAUGACAAUAAGGGUGAGAAUUUUCACACAAUUCACAAUUCGAUUUUGCAGACAACAGCACACAGAAGACACUUUCAAAUCAAGCAGGUUUCUGUUGGUCUACACGGCAAAUCUGCGUAACCUACUUGAACCAUAUGCAAAAUUCCAGACGGUGUGGAUUCCUAUUGAAAUAAUUGGAUUUUGGCUGUGGAAAUCAUUGAACAACAGUAACCGUGACUGCAACUUUAAUUGUUAAUUUAAAAAUCCAUUUAUGUAUCAAUUGAGUAAGAAUCACAAUGAAUCAGUGUAUCAAUUGUUUCCUACACUGUAAAAAUUGCUGUAAAAAAAAAAAAAAAAAAACAUCAAAAUUCUGACAGUACUAUACAGUUUUCCAUUAAAACAGUAAUGUACUGUGGAAAACAAUGCAUUGUGGGCAAUAAUUUUCAUGGUAAGCAACUGCUGUUAAUUCACAGUCCAUUUUCAACACUAAUCUACUAUAUUUGUGUAUUACAUUUUGUACUGUAGCACGCAAUGCAUUGUGGGCUGGUCCAUUUGAAGCAAUAGCACAAUGAAACGGGUGUUACACAGGAGUUUGAGUAUGAGCUUCUUAUCCGUGUUUGUGGUGCUCAUGACAGGAAUAUGUAGGAAAUGGAAGAAAACUAAUCGAAGCAGAGAGGAGAGGGAACUUUGAAACCGACUGCAGCGAGGAGCACGUUCUUUUAAAACUGGAGGUUUUGGUCAGACUCUGAAUGUUUUCUCUCACAUCAAAAUCUCUUGAACGGUGACCGAUGAGCUGGAACUGAACAAGCCGGAAUGGCGCUUGAGAGCACUUAUAAGUGAGUGAUUAUAAACACAUUGAUCGGAGAGGGUAAAAUCCUGUCGAUUUACUGUAAAACAUAAUUUAUUCCCAACUUUCAGGGUUUAUUAAGGCUUUCAGACUGUGUAUUUCUUGGUGGGACUCAGCCUGAUGGUUUUGACCGCAGUGCUCAUUGGCAGAAGGAGAAAAUAUAAUGAAAUGGUCAAAUUUGUUCUUAAACAUUAUUGAGUAUUAAACUUUUUAAAAUGCAAUUUUUGUUUAACUGUAUAAGCUACAUAACAGAGUUUGUAUUUUUUCUGCACGUUGCUUUUACUCUUGCCUAUAUUUUUGUCCUUUUUUGCUUAUAAAUAAAUGUUCACCUUUUUAUCAGCCUGUUGCUGUUGCCUGUGUUUUUAAUUUCAUGUGUGAUUUUAAUUUCCAACCUAUUUUGAGGUUCCCUUUUGACCCAGAGCUUUUUUAGAGUAUAUUGUAAAUUGAAAUAAUCACAGAAAUGUACUGCAUGUAUUUUUUACAGUAAAUGGCUGUAAAGUAAUUUCAUAGUAUUAAUACCAUAGAAUUACAGUAUAUUGCUGGUGUACAGGAAAAUACUAUAUUUAGCUUUUACGGCAAUACACUGUAAAGCAAUUUCACAAUAUCCAAGCCGUAGAAUUACAGUAGAUUGCUGGUGUCUCUGCUGCCAGUAUUUUACUGUUAUUUUACAGAGAAAUGUUUUAAAGUGUAUGUAACAACAUUAAAUAUUUGGCAACCAAAACAGAACUUGCAAACAGCUACAUCUCAUUUUGCUUUCCUCUUUAGCCGAAGUAGCAUUCAUAGUAUGACUGACCCUGCAUCAAAGACCGGUCUGUUACAGGAAGUUCAAAUAUCCUGUCUGAUGAAAGAUAAAUAUGUUCUCAGAAGAGAACAGAUGGUCACACAGAACUUGUACAACAACUAUGACACAGAACUAAAGGUUUGUGUACAUAUAUAUCAUAAAUUUAGUGUGAGAAAUCCAGUCAUUUCAAUAGAAAUCUGCGCAAUUGGGAAUUUUGCGUGAGGGCUACAUAGAUUUCACUUGUGUUAAAGUCGGUCACAUGAAUUCACCAACAAGAAUUGACAAACAGGUUUGAAAGUGACCUCUGCGUGAAUGGUGCUUCAUUCCUCACUACACUAUUGGGUAUGCAUUGACGUCCCUUUCCCGCUGGAAUACGCCCCCUCACCCGGACUGAGUGGCAAAAGAGCCUGCUGCAUGACUGGAUUUAAUAGUGGAAACUGAGAAAACCACAUUGGAAGAAACCACUAUAGUCGUCUCACUUCUCUCUGCAAAGGUAUAUGCCCGCAUAUCCUCCACCGGUGCUGACCAGGGUUCAGAGAGGAAAAGGAGGGGGGAAAAGUGAAAAGACUGACAAAGGUGCAUUACAUAAUCCCAUUGUGAGAUUUCACGGACCUUGUCUUAUAAUAUUUUUACAAAGACUGAAUUUCCUUCUCCCCAGGGAUCUGAAGCCCAACUCCUCCAUCUGAUCUGGCGGAGUCAGGUCAAUUUUAUGCUGAUUUUAUGGGUGAGAGGAUGGGAACCACUGCCAGGGAGAGAAAGAGGAACACAAGGGAGAGGAGAGAGAGGGAGAGGGAAAGAGAAAAGAACGAAGAGAUACGUCAGAGAGACGGAGAGAGAAUGAUGGGUAGCUGACAAUAACAUCUUUAAGAUUUAAGGUUAAAAUUUCUAUGAAUGAGAAAGUGUAUAUUUUUAAUUUUAUUUUUAAUUUUAUUUAUUGUUUAUUUAUUUUUUAUUUUAAAUUUGUUUAUUUUAUACCCAAUACAAUGUAGUUCAUCACAAUAUCAUAACUAGACUGGGAUUGGAACUCUGCCCAACAGGGAUAUAUAUAUAUAUAUAUUUUUUUUUUUUUUUUUUUUUUUUUUUUUAUUUAAUUAAAUUUUUUUUUUUUUGGAUGCAUUCAGCAAGGAUGCAUCAAAAGUGACAGUAAAGAUAUUAUAAUGUUACAAAAAAAAACUGUUUUGCAUAAACGCUGUUCUUUUGAACGAUUUAUCAAAAAAAUCCUGAAAAAAAGUUCUCACAAAAAUUAAGCAGCACAACCGUUUUCAACAUUGACAAUAACAAGACAUUUUUCUUGAGUAGCAUAAUUGAAUGACAUGUUAAAUAAAUAGUUAUUUGAAAUAGCAACAUUAUUCCAGAAUAUUAUUUUGUUUUACUGUAUUAUUAUUAUUAUUAUUAUUUUUUUCAAAUGGUGAGCAGAAGAGUCUUCUUUUAAAAACACUUCAAAAUCUUACCAACUCUUUUUGAAAGGUAGAAAACAAUGCCAUGUAGUCAUAAAAUGCUUGUUUAAACAAUUUUAGAUGUCACAGUGCAGGACACUGCUGUCAAUGCGCUCACGUCAACUACUUUGAUAUAAGAAAAGACAGGGAAAAGACAAUAAAAAGGGUAAUAAACAAGAAAAGAUUAAACAACAAAAAUAGAGGCAAGAGAAAGCGAUAGGUGAGAGGGAGGGGUAACAGAGGGGCAUUGCCCUCCAACCACGCACCUUCUGUGCUGCAUAUCCUGGAGGCUCCCGUGUUCUUACGGAUUCAAAAAUACCUUGAGACACAUGCUUAUUCAUACAUAGAGGCAAAAGGACUUGCAAAUCUCUAUCCCUGUGGGAUUUUCGCACAACGGGGGGGCUCACAUGAAAAGCCCCAAAAAUUCAGAUGAGCUCUUUUAUUAUUAACGCCCGCUCUGUCCCUUCAACAAGCCAGAUCCGGCUUCAAAUCUGAGCAAUGCAAUCAAAUAUUUGCCCAAACACUUAUCUAGUAGGAGUAUUCAAAGUGGAGUUCCAAACGUUUUGUCAUAUUUUUUAAGAAAGAUGACAGUAUCUGACGUGCUUAGGUAACGCUAAUUCCCAUUGGGAAAAAAUAAAAUAAAAAAAAGAUACGUUUUAUGUUCAAACAUGAGCUUGUUCAACAAUUAACCUCCCAAAUGCACUUUGGCAAAGGUGCCGCUUUCAUUCAUUUGAGUCUUUAAAUGUGCCGCAGACAAACAAAAAUGUGUGUAUGGAGGAAAAAUGCAUGCAAAAAUUAAUCGAUUGGGUGACCAACCGUCUUUUUUUGUAGGGGGGAGGAGAGAAGGGGGAGAAUUAAAUAAGUAAAAAAAAAAAUACAAAAGCACUAAAAACUAAAAAUAUAAAAAUAAAAGCUAAUUCAAAAUAUUAAUAAAUACCAUAAUAGUAUAUAAUGGGUUAGUAUAUUCUCAUAUGUUAUUUAGCAAUAAAUUUGAACAACAAAACACUUUACAUUGAAAGUUUUGUAUUGUCCCAUGGUUUUUGCUGUUUUCUUUUAAAUACACAUGGUUGCUGGAAAAAAGUGGUGUUUUCUGUUCAAAUAUGAGCUUGUUUAACUUCGGCGAAAGUGCUGCCUUCAUUCACCGUUUGAAAUUUCUAGAGAUUCUUUAAAUGCACCACAAACACAAAAAUCUGCAAAAAUGCAUGUAAAAUGACUGAUUGGGUGACCAACUGUCUGUUUUUGGUAGGGGGGGGGGGGGUUUGUACACUGGGGAAUGUAGAGAGAUGAAGGCCCCUGUCUGUGGGUGAAAAGCUGUCAAAGGGAGCCCGGCUCCUUGCCUCCGCAGCCUCCUGCUGCCAUAUUGUGAGUGUGUUUGCGCGGGGCGGGCAGACACAAAGGGAUUAAUGGGUUAAGGCUGAAAGUUGAAGGUUAGGAGGGUAAACCCAACCCCUGCUGCUGAGGCAGGGAGAGAAAUGUCACCGUGACAGACCUGGGGCUGCCUAAUCCCCCUCUCGCCCCUCUCGCUCCCCAACGGCCUCCCCUCCUGGGCUUGACACACUGAGGCCACUCCUGUUCCCAGCAGGUCUGCGAACCGCCCCGAGCCAGUGGGCACAGAGAGACACGGAAACAGACAGACAGACAGACACACACCCAUGCACAGGAAGAGUGGUAGACCAACUUGACUUUCAACUAGGGCUGGGCAGUGAAUUCAGGUUGAUUGGCAAAAAGUGUCCCAAUCAGCCUGAAUUCACCCUAUAUAAUGUACAGUGGGAGAACCAUGUCAGUCAGUAGAGAUAUUUACAAGAGAAAAUGUGAAAAUGCAGAGCCAAAUGUGUCCAAAAUUAGUCAAGAUGAGCAUGGCAAAACAUAUAUAGUCAUAUAUAAUUCAACUGAUGUGCGGCCACAGGUGUAUGCAGAGUGCAAACAGUCAGGUUCUGGACGAAAAUAUCCCAUUCACUUUCUCCAUAGAGAAACUGAUUUAUAAUGAUUCUCUACAAACCCUUCAAGAAAGGUUUAUUAAAAAAAAAAAAAAAAAAAAAAAAAAAAA